UGGGGAAUUUUGGACAACGGGCGAAAGCCUGAUCCAGCCAUGCCGCGUGCAGGAUGAAGGCCUUCGGGUUGUAAACNGCUUUUGUACGGAACGAAAAGACUCUGGUUAAUACCUGGGGUCCAUGACGGUACCGUAAGAAUAAGCACCGGCUAACUACGUGCCAGCAGCCGCGGUAAUACGUAGGGUGCAAGCGUUAAUCGGAAUUACUGGGCGUAAAGCGUGCGCAGGCGGUUAUAUAAGACAGAUGUGAAAUCCCCGGGCUCAACCUGGGAACUGCAUUUGUGACUGUAUAGCUAGAGUACGGCAGAGGGGGAUGGAAUUCCGCGUGUAGCAGUGAAAUGCGUAGAUAUGCGGAGGAACACCGAUGGCGAAGGCAAUCCCCUGGGCCUGUACUGACGCUCAUGCACGAAAAGCGUGGGGAGCAAACAGGAUU
rnacentral:rRNA from 1 species